UUACCAAAAUGACCAUUUCAUUAAGCCAUUUAUGAACACAUCAAACUUACCAAAAAUCAUACCAUAAUUGAGUCCAAAAUCAAGCCAUAUCUCAUGGCAUGAUAUAUAUAUACAUCUCAAAACAUAUUCAAAGACUUCUAGCCUAUACAUGCCAUACUUCACUAUAUACAUUUCUGAAUAAGUACCAAAAAUAUAAUUCGAUAGUGUGGUGAGAUCCUUGACGAUCCCCUGAGCCUCC
rnacentral:lncRNA from 1 species